rnacentral:lncRNA from 1 species
GAAGUAUGUUCCCUGGACCAGCGGUAUCAACAUCACCUGGGAAGAUGUAGAAGCACAAAUUCUCCUGCCUACUCCAGACCUACAGAAUUAGAAACUCUGGGGCUGGAGCUCAGUAAUCGGUGAUUUACCAGUCCUCCAGGUGAUUCUGAAACAUGCUCUCGUGUGAGGACCACUGCUGUAAAGACCUCUUGGCCUCAAAAGGAGAUGUAAGUCCUUGGAAAGAGUUAGUGAUGCGACCACUCAAUUCCAUGGCCUCAGUGUCUUACCAAGCCCUUGACUCCUGGUGUUUGUCCUCAUAGUCCCUGUGCUCUGUGCCUGUUAUUAAGGUCAGAAGAACCUACUCCUGCACCCAAACUCACCAUCUGCUUACCCGGCAGGUGAGUUUGGGCAACAUUUUGAUUGACUUUCACCUAUUCCAGAUGAGAAUCUUGAAAAGAGAUUUGGGAACCUUAUUUCUCCUGUUUGACCACUAAAACUGUGCUUAGACCUCUCUUGCUGUACCGCCAUUGUUGUAGUAAACACCGAAGUUCCCGGUUCUGGUGCUGAAUUAGUCCCUUAACAAUAAUCUGCUAGGUGUUCUAGUCACUGACCUGCAUUCGUCCUCUAGUCCUAUUCUGGGGCCCUUAGUCUCUGUUAGGACUCAGUUGAAUCCUUCCCUCAUACCCAACAAAUUUGUAUGUUGGAGUCCUAACCCCCAGGACCUCAGAAUAUGGCUAUAUUUGGACACAGACCUUUAAUGAGAUAAUUGACUUAAAUGAGGCCAUUAGAAUGGGCCUUAAUCCAGUAUGAACAGUGUCCUUAAGAGGAGAUUCGGACACAGAUGUGCACCAAGGGAAGACCCUGUGAAGAUACAGGGAGAAGACGGCGUCUGCAAGCCAAUGAGAGAGGCCUCAAAAGAAAUCAACCCUGCCAACAUCCUGAUCUCAGACCUCCAGCCUCCAAAACUACAGAAGAGAUGGAAGCAGAGGGAACACCCACAGCACAGGAUCAGUCAUCAGCAGUGCUCAGAACAAGGCCUUGGACUCUUCUCUCAAUUCAACUCUUCCAGCAACUCUCCUGUUUUCCCAUCUUGCUUGGAAGAGCGCAGACCAACGGGUAACACAGAUGAAAGCAAUGUUACCAUAAUACUCAGUAUUUAGAAUAAUACCUUUAU